rnacentral:rRNA from 1 species
CUGAGUACGGCGGAACACGUGAAAUUCCGUCGGAAUCCGGGAGGACCAUCUCCCAAGGCUAAAUACUCCCUAGUGACCGAUAGUGAACCAGUACCGUGAGGGAAAGGUGAAAAGCACCCCGGAAGGGGAGUGAAACAGUUCCUGAAACCGUGUGCCUACAAGUAGUUAGAGCCCGUUAAUGGGUGAUAGCGUGCCUUUUGUAGAAUGAACCGGCGAGUUACGAUUUGUUGCAAGGUUAAGCGGAAAAAGCGGAGCCGUAGCGAAAGCGAGUCUGAAUAGGGCGCAUAAGUAACAGGUCGUAGACCCGAAACCAGGUGAUCUACCCAUGUCCAGGAUGAAGGUAAGGUAAUACUUACUGGAGGUCCGAACCCACGCACGUUGAAAAGUGCGGGGAUGAGGUGUGGGUAGCGGAGAAAUUCCAAUCGAACUUGGAGAUAGCUGGUUCUCUCCGAAAUAGCUUUAGGGCUAGCCUCGAGGUAAAGAGUCAUGGAGGUAGAGCACUGUUUGGACUAGGGGCCCUUCUCGGGUUACCGAAUUCAGAUAAACUCCGAAUGCCAUGUACUUAUACUCGGGAGUCAGACUGCGAGUGAUAAGAUCCGUAGUCGAAAGGGAAACAGCCCAGACCACCAGUUAAGGUCCCCAAAUAUAUGUUAAGUGGAAAAGGAUGUGGGGUUGCUUAGACAACCAGGAUGUUGGCUUAGAAGCAGCCACCAUUGAAAGAGUGCGUAAUAGCUCACUGGUCGAGUGACCCCGCGCCGAAAAUGUACCGGGGCUAAACAUAUUACCGAAACUGUGGAUGAACCUCUUUAGAGGUUCGUGGUAGGAGAGCGUUCUAAGGGCGGUGAAGUCAGACCGGAAGGACUGGUGGAGCGCUUAGAAGUGAGAAUGCCGGUAUGAGUAGCGAAAGAAGGGUGAGAAUCCCUUCCACCGAAUAUCUAAGGUUUCCUGAGGAAGGCUCGUCCGCUCAGGGUUAGUCGGGACCUAAGCCGAGGCCGAUAGGCGUAGGCGAUGGACAACAGGUAGAGAUUCCUGUACCAGUGCUAAUUGUUUAACCGAUGGGGUGACACAGAAGGAUAGGGAAUCGCACGAAUGGAAAUGUGCGUCCAAGCAGUGAGUGUGAGAAGUAGGCAAAUCCGCUUCUCGCGAAGCAUGAGCUGUGAUGGGGAAGGAAAUUAAGUACGGAAGUUCCUGAUUUCACGCUGUCAAGAAAAGCCUCUAGGAAGAGUAGUACUGCCCGUACCGCAAACCGACACAGGUAGAUGAGGAGAGAAUCCUAAGGUGAGCGAGAGAACUCUCGUUAAGGAACUCGGCAAAAUGACCCCGUAACUUCGGGAGAAGGGGUGCUCUAUUAGGGUGCAAGCCCGAGAGAGCCGCAGUGAAUAGGCCCAGGCGACUGUUUAGCAAAAACACAGGUCUCUGCAAAACCGUAAGGUGACGUAUAGGGGCUGACGCCUGCCCGGUGCUGGAAGGUUAAGAGGAGUGCUUAGCUUCGGCGAAGGUACGAAUUGAAGCCCCAGUAAACGGCGGCCGUAACUAUAACGGUCCUAAGGUAGCGAAAUUCCUUGUCGGGUAAGUUCCGACCCGCACGAAAGGCGCAACGAUCUGGGCACUGUCUCAACGAGAGACUCGGUGAAAUUAUAGUACCUGUGAAGAUGCAGGUUACCCGCGACAGGACGGAAAGACCCCGUGGAGCUUUACUGCAACCUGAUAUGGAAUGUUUGUACCGCUUGUACAGGAUAGGUAGGAGCCGAAGAGACGUGUGCGCUAGCAUACGAGGAGGCAAUGGUGGGAUACUACCCUGGCUGUAUGACCAUUCUAACCCGCCACGCUUAGCGCGUGGGGAGACAGUGUCAGGUGGGCAGUUUGACUGGGGCGGUCGCCUCCUAAA